rnacentral:misc_RNA from 1 species
GUGAAUCCAAAACUGCCUCCUCAAGUGAACCAACUGUUGAUUCCAAUGUUGUCUGCAGAGUCUCAAUCGGAUUUGACAUUGAAGAGAAACCGACGCUACAAGGACUACUACCCCUGCUAAGUUUUUGAGGGGAGAAAAUCUUCUCAAAGCUCUCACUUCCAAGGUUGCUGAGUUGGUAUAUGGUUGCCUGGCCAAUGGAACGCUCCAAUUUGAGUAGCUUCAGGACCCCAGCAGCUAUCCGACCCAUUGCAUCAACUUCAGACUUGCACAGCAGAGCAAGGUGCUGGAGCUCAUCUUUGGUCACAACAGCUUCAAUCGGUUGGUUAACAGAGAAUUUCAAGUUUUCCACUAUCCACGUGGGCAUGUCAUCAUCAACAUUUUCCCCUGACAUCACCAUGUGAGCUUCAAGAUUUAUCCCUCCAGUCUCAAUAACUUGUUUUAUCCCAUUCUCAGACACAGAAAUGCCCUUUUGUCCAAGUGGCUUCAAGAUCUGCAAGCCUUUCACACCAACUAUCACCAAUUCCACAGGAUAUUUCUGUCUUUCAUGUGAUUUCCCUUUUCCAUUCAGUUCUUGCCUUGGAAUGGUUUUUUUUGCUUUUACUAACAAACUUUGGAAAGUUGUAUGCCAGCAACUCACUUCUCUGCCCACAUGUUCAUGAUCAGAAAACCGCCACCUUUCUGCCAUCUCUUGUGCACCCUCAAGCGCAAACAACCAAUCUUUCAAUUCUAUACACACAUCCACAUCAUCUGGCAUUUCCAAGUUCAAAAAUCCACCAUCUUCCCCAUUUUCUGAACUCUUAUCUUCUCCUAAAUCAUCAACUGAGAGAGAAGAUGUUUUGAAAAGUUUUGAUAGUGGUCCUGUUGAUAAAUUCUUUAAUCCUUUAGAAAGCCCUUCUCCAGGACCACCAUCAGGCCCCAGUAUUCCAAAUCGAUGCAACAGAGUUUCAGCAUAGUUCAUUCCACCACCAAGGCGAAUACCAGAAAUACAGGCUGAAACGCUUAAGCUAUGGCACUCUUUAUCACGUUCACUGAAUGGAAUCACAUGUACUAUGUUAACAUCCAGGAAUGGAAUUGCCUGCGCAAUACCAUUUCGUUGAUGUUUCCUCUGGUCAUGCACCCAAAAG